rnacentral:tRNA from 2 species
AAGGCCUUAGCUUAAUUAAAGUGUCUGAGUUGCAUUCAGAAGAUGUGGGAUAAAAUCCCGCAGGCCUUA